rnacentral:misc_RNA from 1 species
UGUGGGAGGGGGCUUGCUCCCGAUACAGUGUGUCAGUCGCUGAGAUGUCGACUGACACUCUGCAUCGGGGGCAAGCCCCCUCCCACA